GCGCUCUUAGGUUGUUUUUGUUCCACUUUCCUCUCGCUCUCAUAUCGAUAGUCUUGAAC
rnacentral:sRNA from 1 species